rnacentral:rRNA from 1 species
UGGGGAAUAUUGCACAAUGGGCGCAAGCCUGAUGCAGCCAUGCCGCGUGUAUGAAGAAGGCCUUCGGGUUGUAAAGUACUUUCAGCGGGGAGGAAGGGAGUAAAGUUAAUACCUUUGCUCAUUGACGUUACCCGCAGAAGAAGCACCGGCUAACUCCGUGCCAGCAGCCGCGGUAAUACGGAGGGUGCAAGCAUUAAUCGGAAUUACUGGGCGUAAAGCGCACGCAGGCGGUUUGUUAAGUCAGAUGUGAAAUCCCCGGGCUCAACCUGGGAACUGCAUCUGAUACUGGCAAGCUUGAGUCUCGUAGAGGGGGGUAGAAUUCCAGGUGUAGCGGUGAAAGGCGUAGAGAUCUGGAGGAAUACCGGUGGCGAAGGCGGCCCCCUGGACGAAGACUGACGCUCAGGUGCGAAAGCGUGGGGAGCAAACAGG